rnacentral:rRNA from 1 species
GAUGAACGCUGGCGGCGUGCCUAAUACAUGCAAGUCGAGCGAACAGACGAGGAGCUUGCUCCUUUGACGUUAGCGGCGGACGGGUGAGUAAAACGUGGAUAACCUACCUAUAAGACUGGGAUAACUUCGGGAAACCGGAGCUAAUACCGGAUAACAUGUUGAACCGCAUGGUUCAACAGUGAAAGACGGUCUUGCUGUCACUUAUCGAUGGAUCCGCGCCGCAGUAGCUAGUUGGUAAGGUAACGGCUUACCAAGGCAACGAUGCGUAGCCGGCCUGAGAGGGUGAUCGGCCACACUGGAACUGAGACACGGUCCAGACUCCUACGGGAGGCAGCAGUAGGGAAUCUUCCGCAAUGGGCGAAGGCCUGACGGAGCAACGCCGCGUGAGUGAAGAAGGUCUUCGGAUCGUAAAACUCUGUUAUUAGGGAAGAACAAAUGUGUAAGUAACUGUGCACGUCUUGACGGUACCUAAUCAGAAAGCCACGGCUAACUACGUG